AUCAGCAGUAAUUAACAUUAAGCUAUAAGUGAAAACUUGACUUAGUUAUGGCAACCUAUAAGGGCCGGUAAAUCUUGUGCCAGCCACCGCGGUCACACAAGAGGCCCAAAUUAACUGUAUACACGGCGUAAAGCGUGGUACUAUGCUAUCACAGCAACUAAGACCAAAAUGUAACUAAGCUGUCAUAAGCUUAAGAUACACCUAAGACCUCCCUCAAAACGAUCUUAGCGCUCUUUGAUCAAUUAUCAGCCACGAAAGCUAAGGAACAAACUGGGAUUAGAUACCCCACUAUGCUUAGCCCUAAAUCCCAAUACUUACACUACCAAAGUAUUCGCCCGAGAACUACGAGCACAAACGCUUAAAACUCUAAGGACUUGGCGG
rnacentral:ncRNA from 1 species